rnacentral:rRNA from 1 species
CCUACGGGGGGCUGCAGUGGGGAAUAUUGGACAAUGGGGGGAACCCUGAUCCAGCCAUGCCGCGUGUGUGAAGAAGGCCCUCGGGUUGUAAAGCACUUUCAGUGAGGAAGAACGCCUGGUGGUUAAUACCCAUCAGGAAAGACAUCACUCACAGAAGAAGCACCGGCUAACUCCGUGCCAGCAGCCGCGGUAAUACGGAGGGUGCGAGCGUUAAUCGGAAUUACUGGGCGUAAAGCGCGCGUAGGUGGCUUGAUAAGCCGGUUGUGAAAGCCCCGGGCUCAACCUGGGAACGGCAUCCGGAACUGUCAAGCUAGAGUGCAGGAGAGGAAGGUAGAAGUCCCGGUGUAGCGGUGAAAUGCGUAGAGAUCGGGAGGAAUACCAGUGGCGAAGGCGGCCUUCUGGACUGACACUGACACUGAGGUGCGAAAGCGUGGGUAGCAAACAGGAUUAGAUACCCUUGUAGUC